rnacentral:rRNA from 1 species
UACGAACGCUGGCGGCGUGCCUAAUACAUGCAAGACGAGCGGAUGGAAGGAAGCUUGCUUCCUAAAGUCAGCGGCGGACGGGUGAGUAACACGUGGGCAACCUGACCCUAAGAUCGGGAUACCUUCGGGAAACCGGAGACAAUAUCGGAUAUGAUUAUGACUCACAUGAGAUGUAAUGGAAAGACGGUUUAGGCUGUACAUUAGGGAUGGGACGGAGGCGCAUUAGCUAGUUGGUGAGGUAACGGCUCACCAAGGCGACGAUGCAUAGCCGACCUGAGAGUGUGAUCGGCCACACUGGGACUGAGACACGGCCCAGACUCCUACGGGAGGCAGCAGUAGGGAAUCUUCCGCAAUGGACGAAAGUCUGACGGAGCAACGCCGCGUGAGUGAAGAAGGUUUUCGGAUCGUAAAACUCUGUUGUUAGGGAAGAACAAGUACCAUAGUAACUGAUGGUACCUUGACGGUACCUAACCAGAAAGCCACGGCUAACUACGUGCCAGCCGCCGCCGUAA